rnacentral:sRNA from 1 species
GCCAGGUGUGGUGGUGCACACCUGUAGUCCCAGCUACUCAGGAGGCUGAGGUGGGAGGAUUUCUUGAGCCCAGGAGGUCAAGCUGCAGUGAGCCCCUGAUCAUACCACUGCACUCUAGCCUGGGCAACAGAGUGAGCCCCUGUCUCAA